UACGAAGGGGGCUAGCGUUGCUCGGAUUGACUGGGCGUAAAGGGCGCGUAGGCGGUUCGUACAGUCAGACGUGAAAUUCCUGGGCUCAACCUGGGGGCUGCGUUUGAUACGUGCGGGCUUGAGUUCGGAAGAGGGUCGUGGAAUUCCCAGUGUAGAGGUGAAAUUCGUAGAUAUUGGGAAGAACACCGGUGGCGAAGGCGGCGACCUGGUCCGAUACUGACGCUGAGGCGCGAAGGCGUGGGGAGCGAACGGG
rnacentral:rRNA from 1 species